rnacentral:rRNA from 1 species
CCUACGGGAGGCAGCAGUGAGGAAUAUUGGUCAAUGGACGAGAGUCUGAACCAGCCAAGUAGCGUGAAGGAUGACUGCCCUAUGGGUUGUAAACUUCUUUUAUAUGGGAAUAAAAUGUUCCACGUGUGGGAUUUUGUAUGUACCCUAUGAAUAAGGAUCGGCUAACUCCGUGCCAGCAGCCGCGGUAAUACGGAGGAUCCGAUCGUUAUCCGGAUUUAUUGGGUUUAAAGGGAGCGUAGGUGGAUUGUUAAGUCAGUUGUGAAAGUUUGCGGCUCAACCGUAAAAUUGCAGUUGAAACUGGCAGUCUUGAGUACAGUAGAGGUGGGCGGAAUUCGUGGUGUAGCGGUGAAAUGCUUAGAUAUCACGAAGAACUCCGAUUGCGAAGGCAGUUCACUGGACUGCAACUGACACUGAGGCUCGAAAGUGUGGGUAUCAAACAGGAUUAGAUACCCCUGUAGUC